CCUACGGGUGGCUGCAGUGGGGAAUAUUGGGCAAUGGGCGCAAGCCUGACCCAGCAACGCCGCGUGAAGGAAGAAGGCUUUCGGGUUGUAAACUUCUUUUCUCAGGGACGAAGCAAGUGACGGUACCUGAGGAAUAAGCCACGGCUAACUACGUGCCAGCAGCCGCGGUAAUACGUAGGUGGCAAGCGUUAUCCGGAUUUACUGGGUGUAAAGGGCGUGUAGGCGGGGACGCAAGUCAGAUGUGAAAACCACGGGCUCAACUUCUGUACGGCACUGGAUACUUGCGAGCUAGAAUGCGGUAGAGGUAAAGGGAAUUCCUGGUGUAGCGGUGAAAUGCUUAGAUAUCAGGAGGAACAUCGGUGGCGUAAGCGCUUUACUGGGCCGUAAUUGACGCUGAGGAACGAAAGCCAGGGUAGCAAAUGGGAUUAGAUACCCCAGUAGUC
rnacentral:rRNA from 1 species